CACGCCCCAUACAAGAAAGAUCCUAAAUUUGUACAAAAACUGCAAGAACAACAAAACAAAGAAAUAAUAUUAUAUUUAUACCAUUGACCAGAUCAAACUUCUUACAUUCAAAACUUUGGGCUUCUUCUUCUUCUCGGCUGCCAUCAGGAAAUCAAUUAUAAUCUUGGGGAAUUUUCGGGUUUAUGCCGUCGAGAAUAACUUUUAUAUCUCAUCUAGUUUUAUCAAGGCUAGCUGAAUUUUCGGGAAAAAACGUCAAAUCCACGAGUUUUUACCGUCGAGGAAUAUUCUAUCUAUUAGCUCUCGUUGAAAAGUAAUUAUUAUUAGCAUGGAUCGAGUAUGCUCGAGCGGGAGCGAUUUAGAUUUAGAUUUAGACGUCGACUUGGAGAGCGGUGGCACGACAAGCGAGGAAGAUGCUAGCGUUUUAAAAUGCGAGAAUUCGAAGAUUCUCUUGUGUAGGAAAAACGGUGGAGAAUGUUCGUGUUCGUACGACAAGUGUAUAGUUUCUGACGAAAAUUUGGGGGCGUUUAGGGAAGAAGGGAUGAUAAGUUAUGUAGAUAAGUCGAUGGACGAUGAAAAGCCGAAGAAGAAGAAGAAGAAACAUUCGAAGCCGCCUCGCCCUCCAACGGGUCCUUCGAUCGGCGUUUCCGAUAUGAAAUUGUUGAAGGAGAUAUCCGAGAUCAAUAUGAAGCGUCGGAGAUUGGAAAAAAUCCGAAUGAAGAAAAUUAAAAAGGAGAAAACGUCUUCGUUGAGUGCUAAUCUCUUCGCCUGUUUGGUCACCGUCGUCUUUGUGCUUGUCAUCGUCUUUCACGGGAUUUUGGGUUCACGAACAUGAUGCCAAUCGUAAUGCAUCAGCAACUUUUCCAAGUAAUUUCGUGAUUUUUUCUCUCGGUUCUUUCUAUUAAUUUUAGCGACCGGCUUAGAUAUUUUGAUCUUUUACUACUCUAGUAGAACAUGUCCAUGAUCAAUUGUUUCUACACGACUUUAAAUAUUUAUUUUUAAUGAUUCUUAUGUAUCACUACAAGCUCGUUUUCGUUUUUUUUUUCCUUCUAACUCAAUAAAUGGAUGAUUUUUUUUAUUUAUUUUUAGUUUUUUAUUUUUAUUAUUAUUAAAAAAGACGAUAGUUACUGGUUCCCCAAUUCCCCUCCUGGUCUCUCGAAACAUGUAAUGAUAAUCAUAAACUAUAUGUUUUCAUAUAAAUGUAGAGAGUGUCGCUGAAAACGAUGCAUGGCAUAUCAUUCAACGAGUCGACAUUUCUCGUGACUUAAACUUGUUAUGUGCACGCGCAGUGUAGGAACGUAUUUCGCAAUACUUGAGCUGUAUAACUUACACGGAUCUUUACGCUUUUGUUUGUUGUUUUCAAGACUACCGAAAAUUUUCCAGCAUGAGAAAAGCAAGUGAAAAGAGGAAGUGAAGUUGGAGUACUUGUAUGAAAGAUGUGAUGAAUUAACACGACUCGGGCUUUCAUUUUUUUUUUUCUUUGAAACUCGUCGUUUAUGUUGUAUCUCUUGAGUUGAACUCAUGCAAGAUCUAUCAAAAUGUUGUAUCGAGUUAGAGCAUCUCCAACACACAGAAUUUUUAGCUUUUUAUGUAGAUUUUUAAAAUUUCAGCUAA